rnacentral:lncRNA from 1 species
GCCACCGCGCCCGGCUGUACUUAUAGCGGCGGUGCCCAGCGCGUCGCGUCCCUCCGCAGGCCCCGGCCGCGGCGUCCCAGAGUCCCGAGGUGAAGGUGCCAUGGAGCGGCCGGCGCCCCUGGCCGUGCUCCCUUUCUCGGACCCCGCACACGCCCUGAGCCUGCUGCGCGGCCUGAGCCAGCUCCGCGCAGAGCGCAAGUUCCUGGACGUGACCCUGGAGGCGGCGGGCGGGCGCGACUUCCCAGCGCACCGCGCCGUGCUGGCGGCCGCCAGCCCCUACUUCCGCGCCAUGUUCGCUGGGCAGCUGCGCGAGAGCCGCGCAGAACGGGUGCGCCUGCACGGCGUGCCACCCGACAUGCUGCAGCUGCUGCUGGACUUCAGCUACACGGGCCGCGUGGCCGUGAGCGGCGACAACGCCGAGCCGCUGCUGCGCGCCGCGGACCUGCUGCAGUUCCCGGCCGUGAAGGAGGCGUGCGGCACCUUCCUGCAGCAGCAGCUCGACCUGGCCAACUGCCUGGACAUGCAGGACUUCGCGGAGGCCUUCAGCUGCGCGGGGCUGGCGAGCGCGGCACAGCGCUUCAUCCUGCGCCACGUGGGCGAGCUGGGUGCUGAGCAGCUGGAGCGGUUGCCUCUGGCGCGCCUGCUGCGCUACCUGCGCGACGACGGGCUUUGCGUGCCCAAGGAGGAGGCGGCCUACCAGCUGGCUCUGCGCUGGGUGCGCGCGGACCCACCGCGCCGCGCCGCGCACUGGCCACAGCUGCUGGAGGCAGUUCGCCUGCCCUUCGUGCGCCGCUUCUACCUGCUGGCGCACGUCGAGGCUGAGCCGCUGGUGGCGCGCUGCCCACCCUGCCUGCGCCUACUACGCGAGGCGCGCGACUUCCAGGCGGCGCGCUACGACCGCCACGACCGCGGGCCCUGUCCCCGCAUGCGCCCGCGCCCCUCUACCGGCCUUGCUGAGAUCCUCGUGCUUGUGGGCGGCUGUGACCAGGAUUGCGACGAACUGGUCACGGUUGACUGCUACAACCCACAGACUGGCCAGUGGCGCUACUUGGCCGAGUUCCCCGACCACCUGGGCGGGGGCUAUAGCAUCGUGGCUCUGGGCAAUGACAUCUAUGUGACGGGUGAGUGCGCUGGGGGCUGCCCAGGGGAAGCCCACCACCUUUCCAGGAGACAGCCGCAGAACCUGGACUCGAGGGCCCACCUGAGUCUAAGCCAGAGCCUGGACAACUGCGUUUCUCCAAUUACUUUCAACCUAAAAUUGCGCCUUACGUGAGCAGUGGCAGAGAGCUUG